UGCCCAGCUGUAGAGACGCAUGGCUCUAAAUAGUAAUACGUAGGAAUAGUGAAGCCAAAUGUGCCAUGGAAGCAACCCUGAAGAUUUUGCUGCAGGCGAGUUGACAUCAUGGAUGGAGUGAAGUUGGAUGCACUCCUCUAGACCCUGUGUCCUCGGUCCCAAAUUGAUAGUUCUGUUUUAAAUGUGAGAUCCUGUGGCAAAGGGAAAGGAAAACAGAGGAAGGAAACUGAAAACAGCCCGUGUUUAUCUCUCCCCACAUUCCUGACACUCGGAAGGCCAUGUUUGCUUGGCCUUUCUAUAUCCUUUUCCUCAUCCAUGAAACAGGAGAAUAAGAGGAUCUGUGCACAGAAGCUACAGUGAGCAUUACAUGGAAUGUGCUUAGAAGAGUACCCAGCACAAGUUGGAUCCUGCUUCUCAGUUUGGCAGAGCUUCUAUGCCUGGGGAACCAGAAUGCUCCACGUGCCACCAAGCCAGUCCCCAAGCUCCGCAAGGAUAGAAAGUCCUAUAUUUGGGACCUUGCCUGAGCUAUGUUUCUCUUCAGCUGGCUGUUAACCUGUAUCCUUUAUGGUAUCUUUUAUUAAACUGGUAAAUAAGCUGGAGGAGGGUUAUUACGUGAGAGUGAGAACAGGGAAGAGACACUGAAUGUUUAAAGUCAAAGGAAUGAAAGAGUUCAAUAGAGGAGAGCAAAUGAACUGUGCAAAUGAAGACUGUUUACAAAGCACCACUGAAGUCCCACUUGAAGUUAGUGGCCAUGAAUUUAAAGUGAGACCUUUCAACAAGGUCUUGUGUUUUCCUCAGCUACAGUCAACUGUGAAAGACACAAGGGAACUGGAUUUCAUCAGUGUGGGGUACUUUCCAGGACUGAGGUUUCAAUAAUAGAAUAUCAUGAAGAGAGGGAGAAGCAAGUGGUUGGGCUACUGCAAGGUAAAGAUUGAUUAUUAAUCAUGGAAUUUAAGUUGUGUGAGGAAGAAAAGAAAGGCAUGAAUGGAGUGAAGAAUACCAUCUUAAUUUAAAAAAAAACAUUUUGUACCAUUGAAUGAUGGAUUGAAAAUUGAGUGUCGUACUAUGGUAGUAAAGAUGCAUUCUCCCAUUUUAAUCUAUAUUUCUUUGUGAAGCAGUUUUUCAGUUAUGACAGUCAAAACCAUGAAGAAAGGUAAAUUAAUUUAGAAUGUAAUCUUCAAAUCACUAACUUCAAAUGUAACCUUCAAAGUGUUAAACUAAGAUUAAUAAGAGAAACACACUCAUCAAAUUACUCUAUUAAAUAUUUCAAUUAUGUUAGAAGUGUUUAC